rnacentral:misc_RNA from 1 species
UUGUUGCCGCCGCCUCCGCCUGCUUCGAAGCCCUUGACUCGCUUCACCGCCGCGACGAGCCUCUCAACAACCUCCGCCACAACGACGGUCACGAGCCCCUCCACCGCCUCCAACUCGUCGCCUCGGCCCACCGCUUUCUUACUAGGGCGGCACCGCUGUUCGCGCGGAGGAACAAAGAUGCUGCAUCCGCAUGGACUUCGCCGCCACUGUCCUCCUCGAAUCUACCUCCGCCUCUUCCGCCAACGUCGCUGGCAAGGAGAUGUCUGGCCGCCACCUCGCCCACCGCGCUACCCCAACAUGAACUCCUCCUUGCUCUGCAGGAAGUCAUACCUCGCGCUCCUCCACAUGGUCCCCUGUGUCCCGCUCAACCGCCUCCUCGACAACAUCCAGGAGGUUUUGGUCGCCACCAGGCUCACCCUCCUCUUCCCCGUCGUCCUACUCGCGUUUGCCGCGUGA